rnacentral:lncRNA from 1 species
UGGGUUCUGGAAAGCCAGUAGAGAUUCCAUUGAAUAAAACGGGGGGACCCUAUAGUUGAGAAGAGCUCUGAGGGACAAAAGCAGUAGCCACCAAUGCCUCGCUGUGCAGAGAGGGGAGACCCCAGAAGAGCUGGCUGUGUGUGCACUCAAAGUGGUCCCUCAAGACCUCGAGGUAUAAGAACUGCUGAGGACUGGGCAGCAGCUCUGCUUUGUCUUUAUGUUCCCGAAGGAUGGAGGGGUUGUAGCAUCCUGCUGCCCACUCAGUGAUGUCCACAUCAUCCCCAAAGAGCUCAGGGGGUAGUCUGAGCUCCUUUGUUUUGAAAAUGACCCAUCUUUUCCUCUCUCUUUCUGAAUCUUUAGUUCUACCCUCUUGCUGAUGAGGAUCUCCAGCAGCCUCUGGAUAUGUGGGCUGACAAGUGAGGGUCUGCUCAUCUCUCCCCAGCUGUCUGUGGGGCUUUCCCAGUUGGAGGCCCCUGGUGAGGAGGGCUCUUGUUGGGCCUCCUGCUUGGAUGAGGUGGGGAAGAACAAGGCCUUGGUGGUCUCCCACUAGCAGGAGAGGAAUGCCAUGGGACAGCUGGCGAGGCCAAGACUCCAGAUGGCUGGGAUGGCAGAUGCCCAAAAGGAGUUACCUGGAGGUGAGCACUUUGCGGCAGGACCCUGUGGGAUGCUCUUGGUGUUGCAUUGGUCUUGAGGGGCUGCUGCCAGGAUGGAGGCCAGAGGGGGAGGGCUCUGGGUCAGAGGAGCCAGGGAAGCUGAUGGGGACAUGGAACAGCCUCUAGUGCAGGCUUCCCUGCAUGGCUGCUGGGCUCCAGCGGGCACUACCUGGCACACCUCGCCAGGGGGGUCUGGACAUGAAUGGCAGUGAAAGCGGCCCCUGUCAGGGACUCAGCGCAGGUGGCUGCAGGAGACAAGAGGCACAAGCUCUAGGCAGGAGCCGACAGGGCCAAGGCAGGGGUAGGCACCUGCAGCCACGGCCCCCCACAGCCCCCACGCUGACUUCACAGUGCACCUCUGUCCCUCCCCUUGGGGCUUGAGCUGAACCCCGCUGCCAUGGCUCCCCCUCCCAGGUCAGCCCCAGGCUGCCUGCAACCCUAGGGUCACACCCUGAGCCCUGGAAGGAAGAAGAACCCAGGAGAGAUUCUUUACCUUUGCAGAUGUGCCAUCAGGCCCCAAACCUGUCCCAGCUGUCGCAGGCCAUCUCUGCAGGCUGGAAAUCAGGACACUGGGUCAUGGUGGUGAAGGCAGGGGCAUGAGGGUUUUACAGGAGGCUGGUCCCUUUAGGGGACACUUUUGGGAGACUGGAGCCCAAGCACCAGUGUCCAAGGCCACACGAAUCCUGACAGUGAUGGAGAAGCUCACAGACAGUUUUCUCAUUGGCAAAGUGCUUCCAUAUCUAUUACCCCUGGCUGCCCUCACAAGCCCCCUGGGGGUGCGGGGGUGGGGGAGAGGGAGCAGGGAGACCUCACAGAGGAAUCCCGGCCAUGUGAAACCACUUGUUCUCAGUCCAACCUGGAGGAUCCACCUCCCAAUCCAGGCACUCCUGGUCCAAGACAGCCCACACGCCCCUGCUGGGUCAUGCCCUUUCCCAGGCUCCUCACAGCUUCAUUCUGCAAAAGUAUCUGGUUCCUGCUUUCCUUUGCUGAGGGUUCUGUUUCCUGCUGCUGGCAUCCUUAUAGACCAAGGAGCUGGUCCCUCAGGGCUGGGAGAGAUGGAAGCAGAUUCUCAGGGCGCACAGGGCUGAACGUGGAAGCUUACCUUUCAAGGCUCUAUUUCUCAUCCUACUCCUCCUCCCCACCAGCUCCAUUUGUUGCUGAGAAAGAGGAAAGAAAAAAAAAAAAAAAAAAA